GACGGCUCCCAGCGAGGUUCUAUUAAAUGUGAACAUGUUUGCGUCAAGGCUUUGUUGAUGGUUGAAGAAGAAAUCAAGGUCGCCAAAACUCGGGUGCUGCUGAAUUGCUAGAUUACUCCACUGCAAAAAACGCUGGACAGUGGCAAGAAGGAAGAGCUCGGGCCACCCGCGAUGCCAGGCCGCCGGCCCUCCUCCCUCAAGCUCAAGGCGGCGAAGAGAUGGUUGAGAUGGUGUUGCAGCUCCGCAGAUAUCAUACCCAUUCUGCAUAGAUCAUGCUUGAUGUACAAUGAUCUUUGAUAACACCAAAUUAUACAGGUUGGAGAGGAAACUGAAAGUGCAUCUGCCGAGGAUCCAAAGAACAUGCUUCCUGACCCCUCUAAGACCAAAAGAACAGGCAAUGCCGCCAAGGGAGUUGGCGCACCAAAGAAAGCGAGGCAGUAGUUCUUCCAUGGAGCACUUCUUCCAUGCCGUUAUCUAGAUAUGUACAUACGGUAUCUUCUAUAUUCUGCUUGCUUAUCAAGCGAAGUCUACGCUGGAAGGGUAUCAUGCUGACCAUUUAAUUGAAUUUCUCUUACAGAAACCAAUAUUAAUUUAUUCAGAGAACAUCCUUAUUUUUAUUUGUGAGAUAAUUAAAAAAGAUGUUUAUCUUUCCGAGCGACAUCGGACAUCCUAUAAUUUUGAGCACCGCCUCGAAGCAACCAGAAAUAGUUUCUGGUAGACUUUGGUCAAUGUAUCCUGGCCUGCAUGCUUUGGUUGUUACGAAAACAG